GACGAACGCUGGCGGCGUGCCUAAUACAUGCAAGUAGAACGCUGAAGCUUGGUGCUUGCACCGAGCGGAUGAGUUGCGAACGGGUGAGUAACGCGUAGGUAACCUGCCUGGUAGCGGGGGAUAACUAUUGGAAACGAUAGCUAAUACCGCAUAACAGUAGAUAUCGCAUGAUAGCUACUUGAAAGGUGCAAAUGCACCACUACCAGAUGGACCUGCGUUGUAUUAGCUAGUUGGUGAGGUAACGGCUCACCAAGGCAACGAUACAUAGCCGACCUGAGAGGGGGAUCGGCCACACUGGGACUGAGACACGGCCCAGACGCCUACGGGAGGCAGCAGUAGGGAAUCUUCGGCAAUGGACGGAAGUCUGACCGAGCAACGCCGCGUGAGUGAAGAAGGUUUUCGGAUCGUAAAGCUCUGUUGUAAGAGAAGAACGAGUGUGAGAGUGGAAAGUUCACACUGUGACGGUAUCUGACCAGAAAGGGACGGCUAACUACGUG
rnacentral:rRNA from 1 species